GGCCACCCCUCUGUUCCCGCGUCAGUGGCCCUGAGCGCACAGCGCUCGGAACUCGGAGGUGCCAGAGACUCCGGCGAAGCAGGCCUGGGGAGGGCGCGAAGCCACGUUGUUCCGAUCCUCAGCCACCUGGGUCCCAGCCUGGAACCUUCAGACUCUGGCGUUCGGGCCCCCUCGGUGCCAGACGCCCCGAGUGCCGGGGCGCGCCGGGCGCGGGCUGGGAGCGGCGGACAGCGGGCGGGACAGCGCCCCCGCUCCUCCCGUGGGAGGGCGCGCGCCCCUCCAGGAAGCUCCCGCCUCGCCUCCCGCUUCCCUCCCCACUCCCCGCCUCGGCCGGAGGGAGGAGCCCGAGCCUCCACCGCCGCCGCCGCCGCCCGCCCGGCCCGGGAGGAGGACAGGACCCCGAGCGGCUGGGAGCGCACGCGAGCGGGCCGUGGCCGUGUGGGCAGCGCCCUGAGCCCGUCCCGCGCCCGCGGGCCCGGCCGAGCAGGAGCAGCGCCCGGGGAUGCCCGGGCGGCCCGGAGCGCGGGCAGCGGCAGCCGUGCGGUGAGGGCGGUGGCGCCCGUGGGACCCGCGGUGAGUGGGGCCCAGGCAGGCGGGGCAGCUUGGCGCGAGUGCCCAACUUCGGCCUUGGGGCUGGGCUUCUGGAUCCAGCGGCGGGUCCGUAGGAAGCCGGGUUCGGCCUCGGGGGGCUGCGGCGGUCUAGCCCCCACCGCCCGCGCGAACCCGGACACCGGCGCUUCGGUGACUCAGCUCCGACCCGGCCACGCGGGGGCGCCCCGCUGGCGCCCGGACUGCGGGGGAAGGGCGGGCGGAGUCCCUGGGGAGGGGGGCGCCCUUGGGGGUCCGAGCCCAGCUGCUAUGGGGACCCUCCCACCCGCCCCAGGGGCUUGGAGGGCGUACGGGAGGUGGAGUCCCGCUGCUGCCGCAGCUGCUGAAGGCGUGAGGUCGCGCUGGGUCUUGGCGGGCGCGGGCUGCUCUCCGCGCCCCUCUGCCCUCUUCCCUCCCCUGAACACCCACCCGCUGCCCCAGGCAACUGCCGGAGGGCCAGCUCCCAGCCCCGAUACUGGGAGCGCAGAGGGGGAGUGGAGCUGGGCAGCUUCCCAGAAGUCGGAGUGUGUUUGCAAACUAGUUUUUGCGAAAAAGCUGUCUGGCACCUGUGUGUUUAAAGGGGGCGUGGGGGUGGGCAUGGAGAGAGCGGGGGAGCAAGGCCCUCUCUUAUUCCUGGUUUCUCGCAGCGAUGCUCCUCUGAAAAUAGAGAAGUCUUACUCCCCUCUUCCCUGCCCUUCCCACCCCAUCCCCCAGCCUCGCUAUCCGUCGUCCCCAAUUCGAGAAGCUCUCCUAUGGGGAAGGGGCUGCUCCAAAGGGGGUUGUGAUUUGCCCAAGGUCACAGAUGCUGCUGGCUCUGGUAGCCAAUAG
rnacentral:lncRNA from 1 species